GAGCUUGCUUUCUCGAGCGAGUGGCGAACGGGUGAGUAACGCGUGAGGAACCUGCCUCAAAGAGGGGGACAACAGUUGGAAACGACUGCUAAUACCGCAUAAGCCCACGGUGCCGCAUGGCACAGGGGGAAAAGGAGCAAUCCGCUUUGAGAUGGCCUCGCGUCCGAUUAGCUAGUUGGUGAGGUAAUGGCCCACCAAGGCGACGAUCGGUAGCCGGACUGAGAGGUUGAACGGCCACAUUGGGACUGAGACACGGCCCAGACUCCUACGGGAGGCAGCAGUGGGGAAUAUUGCACAAUGGGGGAAACCCUGAUGCAGCGACGCCGCGUGGAGGAAGAAGGUCUUCGGAUUGUAAACUCCUGUUGUUGAGGAAGAUAAUGACGGUACUCAACAAGGAAGUGACGGCUAACUACGUGCCAGCAGCCGCGGUAAAACGUAGGUCACAAGCGUUGACCGGAAUUACUGGGUGUAAAGGGAGCGCAGGCGGGAAGGCAAGUUGGAAGUGAAAUCUAUGGGCUCAACCCAUAAACUGCUUUCAAAACUGUUUUUCUUGAGUAGUGCAGAGGUAGGUGGAAUUCCCGGUGUAGCGGUGGAAUGCGUAGAUAUCGGGAGGAACACCAGUGGCGAAGGCGGCCUACUGGGCACCAACUGACGCUGAGGCUCGAAAGUGUGGGUAGCAAACAGGAUUAGAUACCCUGGUAGUCCACACCGUAAACGAUGAUUACUAGGUGUUGGAGGAUUGACCCCUUCAGUGCCGCAGUUAACACAAUAAGUAAUCCACCUGGGGAGUACGACCGCAAGGUUGAAACUCAAAGGAAUUGACGGGGGCCCGCACAAGCAGUGGAGUAUGUGGUUUAAUUCGACGCAACGCGAAGAACCUUACCAAGUCUUGACAUCCCUUGACGAACAUAGAAGUAUGUUUUCUCUUCGGAGCAAGGAGACAGGUGGUGCAUGGUUGUCGUCAGCUCGUGUCGUGAGAUGUUGGGUUAAGUCCCGCAACGAGCGCAACCCUUAUGGUCAGUUACUACGCAAGAGGACUCUGGCCAAACUGCCGUUGACAAAACGGAGGAAGGUGGGGAUGACGUCAAAUCAUCAUGCCCUUUAUGACUUGGGCUACACACGUACUACAAUGGCGUUAAACAAAGAGAAGCAAGACCGCGAGGUGGAGCAAAACUCAGAAACAACGUCCCAGUUCGGACUGCAGGCUGCAACUCGCCUGCACGAAGUCGGAAUUGCUAGUAAUCGCAGAUCAGCAUGCUGCGGUGAAUACGUUC
rnacentral:rRNA from 1 species